AACGAACGCUGGCGGCAGGCCUAACACAUGCAAGUCGAACGAGAAGCUUCUUUCGGGAAGUGGAGAGUGGCGCACGGGUGAGUAACGCGUGGGAAUUUGCCUCCUGGUACGGGAUAACGUUUGGAAACGAACGCUAAUACCGUAUGUGAUCUACGGAUUAAAGAUUUAUCGCCAGAAGAGAAGCCCGCGUAGGAUUAGGUAGUUGGUGUGGUAAUGGCGCACCAAGCCUACGAUCUCUAGCUGGUCUGAGAGGACGAUCAGCCACACUGGAACUGAGACACGGUCCAG
rnacentral:rRNA from 1 species